AAUAUUGGACAAUGGGGGCAACCCUGAUCCAGCCAUGCCGCGUGUGUGAAGAAGGUCUGCGGAUUGUAAAGCACUUUAAGUUGGGAGGAAGGGCUUUAGGUUAAUACCCUGAAGUCUUGACGUUACCAACACAAUAGGCACCGCCUCACCCUGUGCAAGCAGCCGCGGUAAUACAGAGGGUGAAAGCGUUAACCGGAAUUACUGGGCGUAAAGCGAGCGUAGGUGGUUCAGUAAGAUGGGUGUGACAUCCCCGGGCUUAACCUGGGAGCUGCUUUCAUAACUGCUGAGCUAGAGUACAGUAGAGGGUAGUGGAAUUUCCUGUGUAGCGGUGAAAUGCGUAUAUAUAGGAAGGAACACCAGUGGCGAAGGCGACUACCAGGACUGAUACUGACACUGAGGUGCGAAAGCGUGGGGAGCAAAC
rnacentral:rRNA from 1 species